CCUUUGGGCUGCAAAAAGGACUGACGUCAAGACAGCAUUUCUGCAAAGAUCUCUAUCAUAGUGACUGAGACAUUUGUGGUUAACUGAAGGAAAAACAGGAAGCUGUGAGAGUUUUAGAGUGAUUAAAAAGUUGUUCUUACUACCCUUCUUACUACCAGCUGCAACUAGGGGAUGAUGACUCCACCAGAGUAUCCAGCCAUUGUUGGGAGACUGCAAAAGCCCAACCCACAGUGAAUGGAAAGGCCCGCACCCUCCUGCUGGGCCUGUUCAGCAUUGAUAUCCUACUGAAGUCCAACCUGACGGGAGGGGUCAACAAGGUCGAUCCAUCUGCAGAGAGAUGUCAGCUUCUGGACCCCAAGAAGCUUAAAGCUUUACUCUAUGCAAUUGUUCAGCACCACCCAUGGGCGAAGCUUCCUGACAUAAGACAGCCAUAAACAAAAGGAUCUGUGAAUUAAGGCACCAGCAGAAGAAGAAGUCCAUGGACAGCUGAAGGACUGGCACAGGGCCUUGAUAAAUUGGCAUGUUUGCACUUAAGGAUUCUUGAUAUGUUUUUUUUUCCACUGAGGGAUUGUUCUGUUUUUAUAACAAUAAAGAUUGUUUUCUGUUUCAUUUAUAGUUUUUUUCCCCAUGUAUUGGAUUACAUACAAAUGUUGAAAACAAGUUAAAAGACAUGUUUUUAAAAAAAGAUUGUGUAGCCUGCUAACAUGUGAAGUAGACCGAAACUUGAGUAAAAGUAUUGUUAUGUGGUUAUUAAAGACAGCAGUCAAAAGUUUGAAUAUCA